rnacentral:rRNA from 1 species
CCUACGGGUGGCAGCAGUGAGGAAUAUUGGUCAAUGGACGAGAGUCUGAACCAGCCGAGUAGCGUGAAGGAUGACUGCCCUAUGGGUUGUAAACUUCUUUUAUAUGGGAAUAAAAUGUUCCACGUGUGGGAUUUUGUAUGUACCAUAUGAAUAAGGAUCGGCUAACUCCGUGCCAGCAGCCGCGGUAAUACGGAGGAUCCGAGCGUUAUCCGGAUUUAUUGGGUUUAAAGGGAGCGUAGGUGGAUUGUUAAGUCAGUUGUGAAAGUUUGCGGCUCAACCGUAAAAUUGCAGUUGAAACUGGCAGUCUUGAGUACAGUAGAGGUGGGCGGAAUUCGUGGUGUAGCGGUGAAAUGCUUAGAUAUCACGAAGAACUCCGAUUGCGAAGGCAGUUCACUGGACUGCAACUGACACUGAGGCUCGAAAGUGUGGGUAUCAAACAGGAUUAGAUACCCGAGUAGUC